rnacentral:rRNA from 1 species
AGAUGAAGAGGUCUGGAAAGGCCCGCCAUAGGAGGUAACAGCCCUGUAGUCAAAACUUCGUUCUCUCCUGAGUGGAUCCUGAGUACGGCGGAACACGUGAAAUUCCGUCGGAAUCCGGGAGGACCAUCUCCCAAGGCUAAAUACUCCCUAGUGACCGAUAGUGAACCAGUACCGUGAGGGAAAGGUGAAAAGCACCCCGGAAGGGGAGUGAAAGAGAUCCUGAAACCGUGUGCCUACAAGUAGUCAGAGCCCGUUAACGGGUGAUGGCGUGCCUUUUGUAGAAUGAACCGGCGAGUUACGAUCCCGUGCAAGGUUAAGUUUGAAAAGACGGAGCCGCAGCGAAAGCGAGUCUGAAUAGGGCGCAUGAGUACGUGGUCGUAGACCCGAAACCAGGUGAUCUACCCAUGUCCAGGGUGAAGUUCAGGUAACACUGAAUGGAGGCCCGAACCCACGCACGUUGAAAAGUGCGGGGAUGAGGUGUGGGUAGGGGUGAAAUGCCAAUCGAACCUGGAGAUAGCUGGUUCUCUCCGAAAUAGCUUUAGGGCUAGCCUCAAGGUAAGAGUCUUGGAGGUAGAGCACUGAUUGGACU